rnacentral:lncRNA from 1 species
AGUGGCAUCUUCAAAAAAAAAAAUGAUGAAAAAUAAGUUCUCUAAGUACCUAAUCAACAAUGAAUUGAGCCCCGGUUAUGGUAAUUUUUCAAUAAGGAAUAGUAGUUGAUAUCUAACUCCAAUUUAGCCUACUUUUCCAAAAUUUAUCCCACCAUUUAUCCGAGCCAAGUUACAACCUUUAAGACCUCAAAAAUGUGUGUCAUGUAUUUACUUUGAUUGACGGUUUAGAAUUUUUUCAAGCUUAUGGUAAAAUAACAUUUGCAUGUUGAUGGAGUGAAUACCCUGUCAAAAUUGAGUGAAUUAGUGAGUGAGAGAUAAGGUUGAACUUUGAACAUCGUGUGGAAUGAUCAUUGAACCGAAGCUGAUUGAAGUCUUGAAAACCAAAGGAUUGAUUGAACAGGAUCACUGAAGUUAAGACCGGUGGUUCUAUUGCCGGAUGAAGAGAAAAAGUUUUUGAGAUUUUUAUCAUUCAAAUUAAUUUGUUAAAUCACUGACAAUUUUGUUUUGACAGACAUGUUACUUGAGGACAAGCAACAGUUCAAGUUUGGGGUUGUGAUGACAUUCCAUCAUUUGAGUAUUUUUAAUUAUUAUUCUAUAGUAUUUUAGUUAGUUUUUAAGA